CACGUAGGGCGCGGGCGUUGUCCGGAAUUAUUGGGCGUAAAGAGCUCGUAGGCGGCCUGUUGCGUCCGCUGUGAAAGCCCGGGGCUUAACCCCGGGUCGGCAGUGGAUACGGGCAGGCUAGAGGUAGGUAGGGGAGAAUGGAAUUCCCGGUGUAGCGGUGAAAUGCGCAGAUAUCGGGAGGAACACCGGUGGCGAAGGCGGUUCUCUGGGCCUUACCUGACGCUGAGGAGCGAAAGCGUGGGGAGCGAACAGG
rnacentral:rRNA from 1 species